UUUUUGUAGUAUAAAUAUUCAAAAAUUCUUCACUAGAUGUCUACGGCCAUACCUAGGCGAAAACACCAGUUCCCGUCCGAUCACUGCAGUUAAGCGUCUGAGGGCCUCGUUAGUACUAUGGUUGGAGACAACAUGGGAAUCCGGGGUUUUGUAGGUUCCUUCUUUAUUAUUGCUGUUUGGUUUUUACCUUCUCUUUUGGAGCAUAUUUUGAGUACUGAAU